CCUUCCAGUGGGUAUACGAGCCUAAACGGACGCGGUAAAUCGUGCUAAGGUAGCUAAAUUAUGGCCUAUUAAUUGUAGGUCCUGUGAAUGGUUUGACGAGUCUUCAUCUGUCUCAGGGUUAUUUUGGUGAACUUAAAUUAAAUGUGCAAAUGCAUUUAUGGGGAAGAAAGACGAGAAGACCCCGUGAAGUUAGAAAUUUUUUCUAUAAUGUUAAGUCUUGAUGGCUGAAAGUCAGUGUUUUGUUUAUCGGCGGGCUUGUCCCUCUAUGAGAGGGGCAGGUGGGCUGAUAAGGAGAGUAUAGAAAUAUAGCUAAUAGGUUUUGGCUGGGGCAGCAAAGGGGCAAAGCUAGACCUCUUUAGUCUAUUGACGGGUGCGUUAUGAUCCACAUGGUUGGUAAGAUGUGCUUAGCAGAAGAAGUUACUCCGGGGAUAACAGCGUUAUCCAUCCUGAUAGCUCUUAUAGAUGGGUGGGUUUGCGACCUCGAUGUUGGCUCUGGGUAUCCUGAGGCUGUAGGUGGUCUCAAGGGUUGGUUUGUUCGCCCAUUAAAACCCGACGUGAUC
rnacentral:rRNA from 1 species